rnacentral:rRNA from 1 species
GAUGAACGCUGGCGGCGUGCUUAACACAUGCAAGUCGAACGAAGCACUUUAUUUGAUUUCUUCGGAAUGAAGAUUUUGUGACUGAGUGGCGGACGGGUGAGUAACGCGUGGGUAACCUGCCUCAUACAGGGGGAUAACAGUUGGAAACGACUGCUAAUACCGCAUAAGCGCACAGGGUCGCAUGACCUGGUGUGAAAAACUCCGGUGGUAUGAGAUGGACCCGCGUCUGAUUAGCCAGUUGGUGGGGCAACGGCCUACCAAAGCGACGAUCAGUAGCCGACCUGAGAGGGUGACCGGCCACAUUGGGACUGAGACACGGCCCAAACUCCUACGGGAGGCAGCAGUGGGGAAUAUUGCACAAUGGGGGAAACCCUGAUGCAGCGACGCCGCGUGAGCGAAGAAGUAUUUCGGUAUGUAAAGCUCUAUCAGCAGGGAAGAAGAAAUGACGGUACCUGACUAAGAAGCACCGGCUAAAUACGUGCCAGCAGCCGCGGUAAUACGUAUGGUGCAAGCGUUAUCCGGAUUUACUGGGUGUAAAGGGAGCGCAGGCGGUACGGCAAGUCUGAUGUGAAAGCCCGGGGCUCAACCCCGGUACUGCAUUGGAAACUGUCGGACUAGAGUGUCGGAGGGGUAAGUGGAAUUCCUAGUGUAGCGGUGAAAUGCGUAGAUAUUAGGAGGAACACCAGUGGCGAAGGCGGCUUACUGGACGAUUACUGACGCUGAGGCUCGAAAGCGUGGGGAGCAAACAGGAUUAGAUACCCUGGUAGUCCACGCCGUAAACG